rnacentral:lncRNA from 1 species
AACUUCAGUCACUAUAGCGGUUGGAGAGGAAGAUCAAGGAACUCACUUUGGCUCCUACAGGUCUCAUCUCAGAGGGGCAUGCCCGUGCUUCUCAUUGACUUUUGGUAAGUAUAGUCUUAUUGGCACAAAUUAAUUAUGUGUAGACUGUGAAAUAAAGGAAAUCAUGUGGACUAUUUGGAUUUGUAAGGUCGGUGUUUCAGUCCACCUGUCAGUUGUGAGCCCAGCAUUGAGGAGUCCAGAUGCAAUUAGCAGCUCUCUCUUUUCUCAACACAACCACCCUUAAACCAAGAACUCCCAACUCUGGGGCCACAAGACAGAAACAGCCUGCAUGCCUGUGUUGCAACUGGGAAGAGAGCUGCUCUCCAGAGUUACCAAGUCACAGCCAACUCUGAGUGUACCAAAAAUAAAGCUUUAUAUAUUAAGCUGAUGAGAUUUUAGGGCUUAUUACCACAACGUAGCCUCUCCCAUUUGAAUAAUACAAUGGUAUAGAAAGGUCUUCUCUCUCUCAGGGAGCCAAUGGUGCAACACAUUUUGCCAUUUGUAUUCUCAAAUCAUCCUUCAGAUUUCUUAUAAACUUUUGCCAAGUUUUGAUACUGUACUCAUUCUCAGCUUUGUGAGACUACUGGGUUUAAUGCUUUCUGACAUUUUAAUUUUACAGGGACAUAUUUUCUUAAUUCUGAAAAGAAAAAGGAAAAUACAGAUCUAUAGGAGACUCUAGAUCUAUAGGAAAAUACAGAUCUAUAGGAGCAGACGUGUAAUUAGAUCUCAUCAAAAUUGUUCAUGUUAGAUACAAUGUAGGACAAUGUAAAAUUUAUACCUGAUUAAUUUCUUUAGAAUUACUGCUGUUAUUAAAUUGAGAGACAUGAGUGAAAAUUAGUAGUAAGGUAAAAGAACAUAUACUAGUUGAAUCAGUGAUAUUAUAGGUGAAACUAUCAAUAAUUUUUUAUAAUGAACAUUAAAUACUAACAUACAUGCAUAUUUUGUAUUGAAGUUUCAUCUCACUAAGCAAUUAAUCAUGGCUUACCCUGUCCAUAUUCUUCAUCACAUUUAAUACCUUUAGUCACCCAGGGUGGAUGAGUUUGUGUUUCAUCCGGAACAAUUCCAGGCAAGGGAGCAUCAGGGACAGUGAUACCCUGCGCCAUGGCUCUGGUGAUAAACCUUUUGUGUAACUUCAGCUCCUUGAUGGUUUCACAGUAUUUCCUGAAGACCCCAUUCUGUAAGCAUAUUAUGUUUUCAUUAAGUGAAAAGAUGCUUAAAUUUGGAACUGCUUUUAGUUGAUCAAUAUGAUUCUAACCUUUUAAAAAUAUUUUGCAUUCAAUCCAAAACAGGUACAGAAAUCCUAAUAAGUUCAAAUCAUUAUGUUACACCCUUUGGAGACUUGGGAGUUUAGGGUAAUAACUUAAGUCUUUCUCUUUAUGUACUCACAUUUUAAAAUUAUAUUUAAAUACAUAGUUACAUUUACAAGAUCACGUUCUUUAAAGUUAGCAAGACAGUGGGAAUGACAGCAUGGGAAGAUGAAAUUUCAGCUUAUUCAGUAGAAUGCAUAGGUUUUAUGAACUAUGUAGUCACCAGAAUACAAUAAAAUGAUGCAAUACUUCCUUCCCACAUUUUCACAUGGAUCAGUCAUGUAACAUAACCACUCUCCGAGUCCUUGGGUGUCUGGGUAGGGCAGGGAGCCCUUUCUCAUUCUGCCGGAGGAGUGGCAUCUUAGUUCAUGAUUAACUCAUGAUGGCCUGAGGGAUAGGGAGUUAGACAGCCUAGAACAUAUCCUAGUUAAUUCCUGGUCUGAAUUACUAUAGUGCUUGGUUUUCUGGGAAUAAAUGAUGAGGAAAAUCUUCUUCUGGAAACUUCUCAACUUAAUAAUGUGAACCUGGAGACCUUUGUAAUAUCAGAGUGGAUUUUCUAGACCCCCAAUAUUACACCAAAAUUACAACACCAGGUUUUCAUUUUAAUGUAAACUCAGAGAAAGUGUUAGUGAGUGAAUCUCAUUCUUUUCAAUUCAUUUCUAUGUAUUUAUUAUUCUAAUAAAAUUUCUGGAUUUCUUUAUCAUAUCAGUAUGCAUCAAACUAAUAUUUUUACAGGUAUUACAAGAGCCAAUAUCUUUAAUGAUCCUCCAUUCUCUUUGAUUUUCUGUUCAAAUACUUAUUCAUAUCAAAAGGUCUUAUUUAUUUUAAAUAAUAUUAAACUUUGAAAAUAUCUCAUAAAAUUGUAGGUGAUGUAGAUGUACAAUGAUUGAAGUCAAAUAAAUAAUGGUCUUUGGAAUAAGAUAGAUUUUUUUCAUAGUUGAAACAACAUGAAUAUAUGAUUUAUAUGUGUACCAAAUAGAAAUAAUCUCAAUGAGAAAAUGAUUAAUGGGCUAUAACUCAGGUUAAUUAAAAUAUCAGUCAUAAUCAUUAUUAUAAAUGUAAAUAACAUGGUUGAUUUUUAGAUAAAUUGGACUUCUUGGGUGUCAUAAAACAUUUCUUCUUUUACUUUCUCAUAGCCAGGUACAUACUAAGUUGCUUAUACUUACUAACACAUAUAGAUGCCUUCCUGUCCCCGAGGAAGGAGAAACAUAUUUUGGUAUUUGGAAGGAAGACCCUAAGUAAUGACAUAUCAGAGAAGAAAUGAGAUCAUUUCUAUCUCAUAGGUUUUGUUGGAAUCAUUUUGAGAUACUAAGAAGAAAUUGAUGGGAUAGAUUGAGGAACCACAGGAAUACUUGGAGUUUUAAAAGCCCAGGUAGCAAAAUGAAGAGUUGAGGUAAGUUGUUCUCACUGUCUUUGCUUGAAAUUCAGGAGUCCCUUGGCAACUGCAAGAUUGAAAACUUUAAAAUCAUCUAGAAACAAAAACAUUGGCACAAUCCUUGAACUUCGGAUGAUGAAUGGCCCUGAUGGGCUUUCUCCAAAUCUCAUGAAGAGUGGAAUUAAACUACAAAAGAGAAUGUUUGGAAGAAAAGACCAAGGAAGACCUGUUGCUAUGCUAGAAAUAUUUAACCACCAGCUCUCCAGACAAGGGAAAAAUUCUAGCUUGUAAUUUUAAAUAAGUCAUAAUUACAUACGAUCACUGAACAUGGCUCUGGGAAGAGAUGUGCACAGUGGGCUCUGGUGAGCUUGUAAGAAGCAACUCCAACACAGUACUGACUAGAGAUCUCACAUCCUCAUUGUUCGAGGAAAGAUGACCUAUGGUUCAUGAGAGACACCUCUUAAGUGAUUUGGCACUUUCUUCAGCAUUACAUUUUACAAUCAAGUAGAGGGUUUGUUGCCACCACUACUUAAGAAUAAAAAUGAAUCACCCAAAGUGUCAGGUCAGAUUUCUAGGUAACAUGAAUAAUAUGUCAUAAUUAUAAGAAUUCCUGAAGGCAUACUGAUGGUCAUUAUGUGUGGGAAGGGCAAUACACAAAGUCAUGUGGAUCUUGUUCAUUCAUUCACUCACCUUUUUGCAAUUAUCAUUGUUUCUCCUGCUUUAACUUGGGUUGUUUCCCUUUUGAGUCUAUUCCAGUAAUUAUCUCUUCCUGACUUCCUAAUUAUUUCCUUGACUUCUCUGGAUUUUCCCAGGAUACUGGGUAACUGCUCAGACCUGGUUUGGCUCAGCAAUGAGUGUGAAUUUGCAUAGGUGAGGCAAUAUGAGUUGCUUGAGUUCAAUCUCCUAUUUCCUGAUACACUGAUGCCUUCCUUUAGGCCCCCGAAAAUUAUCUUCAGAUUCAGCUACACCCUCUGACUCUACUCUCUAGAAGGUUUUUAGAAUGUGCUUGUAUCCUGUCUCAUGUUAGGUAAACUAUAAUACAUUCCUUUGGAAAUCAGAUUCCCACCAAAUACUGCACAGAACCAUCUCUUUUGGAAGCUCAGCGUAGACAAAAAAUGUAUCUUCUCCACAAUUCUGAGUAUGUUUUGCCAUUUCUUGUUUCUUUAACACACAGCUUUGUUAGCAAGUGCGUAACUCUUAGACCUAAAGUGACAAAGCCAUUAUCAGACAAUAUAGGAAUAUCAACUUCCAGUAUUUUCUGCUGGUAGAAUACUGGAGAUAAGGAGGAAUUUGAAGAAGGGUUAAAUCUCCUUUGUUCUCCAGAAAUUAUAUCCUAAUUUAAGUCAGCACCUCCCUGGUAAGAAAAAAAAACGGGGAUAUUUGAUGCUUAAACUUCUCACUUUGUAUUCUGACAGAUUUGGUCAAUUUAUUAAUUUAGUCAAUAAAUAUUUAUUCUGUCUAGAAUGUUUGGGAAUAAAAAUAUGUACCAGAUAUGGAUUCUUAGUUCAAGGACCUAUAUUCUAUGAAGAGAGAUAAGGCAGGUACAUAAAUGGUAAUAUUAGAAAGUAGUAAGUGAUAGGGAUCAUGAGAAAAGUAACCAAAAGACAAGAGAAGGGAGGAAGUGUUCUCAACCGGGAGGAUUAGGAGAAGGAGACAUCUGGAGGAUGGGGAAUGUGGACAUGUCUUUGGGCUGGUGGAAAGCAGUGAGUGGGGCAUUUCAUGUAAGAAGGAAAUGUUGAGAUUCUUCAAAGAACAGCAAAUAAGCUGAUUAAGCUGGAAUACAGAGUUCAUUUUGACACACCAUAGGAGGAACUAAAUUAGAAAGGAGCAGAGUGGUGGGUAUUGAAUAAUUAAAGUGUGAACUCAUGAAAGUCAUGAAAUCCUAGUGAUCCAGUUAUUCCUCGGGGCACUUAAUUUGAUGACAAUUGAACGGAAUAGGAGAAAAGGUCAUAUCCGGGAAGGAAAAACCUACUGGUAGCUAUUGUAAAGGUAUCAUAAGGCAAAGGUAGUAAGAUUCUAGGUCAUGGAAAACCCAGUGAGAAUAGAGAAAGGAAUCAGAUAAUAGUAGUUAACUUUUAUUGAGCAUUUGCUAUGUACUAGGCACUGUGUCUGCAAGGAUGAUCUCUCUUUAACUUAACCAGAGGUUUCUGAGAUAAUGAGGGAGAAUCAAAACUUUGCCUUAUAUUUAGAGUCAGAAAACUGCUGUCUCUUAUAGCAGCAUGAAUUAAGCUGGUACCACAACAACUGUUUUCCCUCCUGUAAGAGGUUUCAGAUUGAUUAGAAGAGCAAAUAAAGAAAAAGCUCAGAGUUUUUUUCCCCCCAUAGGCUGAGUGACUUAAAAGAUGAAAAAAUUUUAAACUAACUUCAUGUCAUAUCAUAGUUAUAAUGCAAAACUUAAAAAAACAAUGAUUUCUAACUUUUAGAGUUGACUAAAUGAUGGCCUUUUCAUAAGGUAAUUUGAUAUUUAAAGAAUCUAUCAUCUUUCCAUUAACUUUCAGGAAAAGAUAAAGAAACUGCAACUUAUGAUAAAGAACAUGACAUGUUCCAUAAAAAAUCUGAGUAAAGUACAUGUUUAGUUCCAUGAGUUUCAUUUCUAUCUAUGUAAUGAGCUACACAAGUCUCCUUGUCCAGUCUAAUUCUGAUUUAUGUUUCCUUUUUGAUAGAGACUAAUUUUUAUCUCAACAAAGAAUGUACUGUAAUACCAGCAGCUCUGGAGGCUGAGGCAGGAGGAUCAUAAGUUCAAAGCCAAGCCCCAGCAAUAGCGAGGAGAUAAGCAACUCAGUGAAACACUGUCUCUAAGUAAAAUAAAAAAAAGAGGCUGGGGAUGUGGCUCAGAGUGCCCCUGAGUUUAAUCUCAUGUACCAAUAAAUAGACAAACAAACAAAGACUGUAUAUAUAGAAAUGUGUGUGUAUACACAUAUGUAUAUAUAUAUAUAUGAAUAUAUAUGUAUAUAUUGAAUAUAUAUACGCCAAUUUUUAAGCAAUAUUAUGACCUAAUUUUACAAGUAAAAAUAUUCUGAAGCUAAGUAGGUUCAUUUAUUCAAGUUUGUACAAUAAGUGGAAGAUUCUGGAUUUUAAGAUAAUUAUUUAUUUAUCUUUUUAUUUAUGUCCAUCACACCAAUGAAACAUAACCUUGAUGAAGGUAGGAAUAGUUUAGUAGAUAAAACACUACCUGCUUCAAUUGAAAAUGGCUGUUUAGGUGAAUGAAGCCAGAGAGUAAGAACACUGGGUGGCUGUUUUCAGCCACUGGACUUAAUUGCUUCCAUGGAGACACUCUUUUAACACUCGGAGACAUGAAAAGAUAAAGAACAAGGGUGAGAUUCUGUGGGUAACAGAAAAUUAGGAGAAGAGUAUUUACACAACUCAGAAUGUGCAUAAAUGAGAUGAUAUUAUAACAUGUUGAUUAGUGUGUUUAUGGCAUAUUUGCCACAUUGAUCCUUAACUUUUCCAAUUACAUAAAAGUAAUGCAUUUUUUGUUUCUUCUUUCAAAAUGAGCUAUUGAUCUAUAAGAAUGGAGUUAUUACAUUUAGAAUUGUUUUUUAAAAUCUCUUUCUGUGUGUCUUCUUGGAGACUGACUUGAUUUGGAAAGUUCAUCUUUGUGUCUGUAUUCAGCUUCUGGGUCUGAAUACUAACUCAAUCUUUGCUCCUCUGGAAGAAAAUUAUUUCUUUAUUUUAUUACAGCACAAGCUUUGGCUGUUCUGAUUAACAGGCUUAAAAGCAAACUAACAUUAAGUGUGAGGAGAACGUUUGUCAUGCUAACAUCAGGAUCACUUUCCAUAUGGUACACAAUUUUCCAUGUAAGAUUUAUUUAGAUGUUUAUUCUAGAUCUGAAAAACUGUUGCAUUGUGUUUGGAGUCUUUGCAAAUAACCUACAGCCUUUUUUACAUUAAUUUUUUUGUUAUCACUUUAAGCAUUACAUGUAAAAAUUUC